UACGGGGGGGGCAAGCGUUGUUCGGAAUUACUGGGCGUAAAGGGCGCGUAGGCGGCUCGUCAAGUCGGGCGUGAAAUCUCCAGGCUUAACCUGGAAAAGUCGUUCGAUACUGUUGAGCUAGAGUGUGGAAGAGGCUACUGGAAUUCCGUGUGUAGCGGUGAAAUGCGCAGAUAUCGGGAGGAACACCUAUGGCGAAGGCAGCUCGCUGGGACGUUACUGACGCUGAGACGCGAAAGCGUGGGGAGCAAACAGG
rnacentral:rRNA from 1 species